GGUCUCCGUUGGUGAACCAGCGGAGGGAUCAUUACAGAGUUGCAAAACUCCCUAAACCAUCGCGAACGUACCCGUACCGUUGCCUCGGUGGGCGGCUCCAGGGCGGAGCCCCAGCCUUCACAGGCGCCCACCGGCCGGCCAAUGUAUACAACCAUUUAUCUCCAUAGGCCUCUCUGAGUCUUUAUAUAAAUAAGUUAAAACUUUCAACAACGGAUCUCUUGGUUCUGGCAUCGAUGAAGAACGCAGCGAAAUGCGAUAAGUAAUGUGAAUUGCAGAAUUCAGUGAAUCAUCGAAUCUUUGAACGCACAUUGCGCCCGCCAGUAUUCUGGCGGGCAUGCCUGUUCGAGCGUCAUUUCAACCAUCAAGCCCAGCUUGUGUUGGGGUCCUGCGGCUGUCCGCAGGCCCUGAAAAACAGUGGCGGGCUCGCUGUCACUCCGAGCGCAGUAAUAUACAUCUCGCUUUGGCCGUGCAGUGGGUUCUUGCCGUUAAACACCCCCCUUAUACAAGGUUGACCUCGGAUCAGGUAGGAAUACCCGCUGAACUUAAGCAUAUCAA
rnacentral:rRNA from 1 species